rnacentral:lncRNA from 1 species
CAGCCCUGUAGGAGACACCUCCAGAGAAAGUAACAGCUCUCAAUUGAUUAGCUGAGGAGACCGAUUUUGUAAAUCACUACUUUUCUAACAACACUGGCACAGAUGGCCAAGCAUUCUCCCUUUUCUCAGAGCUGGUUUUCCAUCCCGGAAAGAGGACUUACAUAUACAAAGUUACUCUAAUCAGUUGUGAGCAGGGUCAUAUAAAUUGUUAUUUAUUCAAAUUGUGGAAUAUUAUAAAGCAGUGAAAAACAAGUUAACUAUAACCAGAUGGAAUAACUUUGGUAUGUACUGUGUGACUUAAAUAUUGAGUUUAUUUUUAUCAAAUACCUGUCAAGAAAGAAAGUCAAUUCUGAAACAGCAGAAGCUCAAAGUUCUACAGAUGGCUUUCAAAGGAAUUUGAAUUAGACAUCAUUUGAUGUUGCAAAAAACAAUGAC